GAUGAACGCUGGCGGCGUGCCUAAUACAUGCAAGUCGAGCGAACGGACGAGAAGCUUGCUUCUCUGAUGUUAGCGGCGGACGGGUGAGUAACACGUGGAUAACCUACCUAUAAGACUGGGAUAACUUCGGGAAACCGGAGCUAAUACCGGAUGAUAUUUUGAACCGCAUGGUUCAAAAGUGAAAGACGGUCUUGCUGUCACUUAUAGAUGGAUCCGCGCUGCAUUAGCUAGUUGGUAAGGUAACGGCUUACCAAGGCAACGAUGCAUAGCCGACCUGAGAGCGUGAUCGGCCACACUGUAACUGAGACACGGUCCAGACUCCUACGGGAGGCAGCAGUAGGGAAUCUUCCGCAAAGGGCGAAAGCCUGACGGAGCAACGCCGCGUGAGUGAUGAAGGUCUUCGGAUCGUAAAACUCUGUUAUUAGGGAAGAACAUAUGUGUAAGUAACUGUGCACAUCUUGACGGUACCUAAUCAGAAAGCCACGGCUAACUACGUG
rnacentral:rRNA from 1 species